rnacentral:rRNA from 1 species
GAGUGAAAUAGAACCUGAAACCGUGUGCUUACAAGUAGUCAGAGCCCGUUAAUGGGUGAUGGCGUGCCUUUUGUAGAAUGAACCGGCGAGUUACGAUUUGAUGCAAGGUUAAGCAGUAAAUGUGGAGCCGUAGCGAAAGCGAGUCUGAAUAGGGCGUUUAGUAUUUGGUCGUAGACCCGAAACCAGGUGAUCUACCCUUGGUCAGGUUGAAGUUCAGGUAACACUGAAUGGAGGACCGAACCGACUUACGUUGAAAAGUGAGCGGAUGAACUGAGGGUAGCGGAGAAAUUCCAAUCGAACCUGGAGAUAGCUGGUUCUCUCCGAAAUAGCUUUAGGGCUAGCCUCAAGUGAUGAUUAUUGGAGGUAGAGCACUGUUUGGACGAGGGGCCCCUCUCGGGUUACCGAAUUCAGACAAACUCCGAAUGCCAAUUAAUUUAACUUGGGAGUCAGAACAUGGGUGAUAAGGUCCGUGUUCGAAAGGGAAACAGCCCAGACCACCAGCUAAGGUCCCAAAAUAUAUGUUAAGUGGAAAAGGAUGUGGCGUUGCCCAGACAACUAGGAUGUUGGCUUAGAAGCAGCCAUCAUUUAAAGAGUGCGUAAUAGCUCACUAGUCGAGUGACACUGCGCCGAAAAUGUACCGGGGCUAAACAUAUUACCGAAGCUGUGGAUUGUCCUUUGGACAAUGGUAGGAGAGCGUUCUAAGGGCGUUGAAGCAUGAUCGUAAGGACAUGUGGAGCGCUUAGAAGUGAGAAUGCCGGUGUGAGUAGCGAAAGACGGGUGAGAAUCCCGUCCACCGAUUGACUAAGGUUUCCAGAGGAAGGCUCGUCCGCUCUGGGUUAGUCGGGUCCUAAGCUGAGGCCGACAGGCGUAGGCGAUGGAUAACAGGUUGAUAUUCCUGUACCACCUAUAAUCGUUUUAAUCGAUGGGGGGACGCAGUAGGAUAGGCGAAGCGUGCGAUUGGAUUGCACGUCUAAGCAGUAAGGCUGAGUAUUAGGCAAAUCCGGUACUCGUUAAGGCUGAGCUGUGAUGGGGAGAAGACAUUGUGUCUUCGAGUCGUUGAUUUCACACUGCCGAGAAAAGCCUCUAGAUAGAAAAUAGGUGCCCGUACCGCAAACCGACACAGGUAGUCAAGAUGAGAAUUCUAAGGUGAGCGAGCGAACUCUCGUUAAGGAACUCGGCAAAAUGACCCCGUAACUUCGGGAGAAGGGGUGCUCUUUAGGGUUAACGCCCAGAAGAGCCGCAGUGAAUAGGCCCAAGCGACUGUUUAUCAAAAACACAGGUCUCUGCUAAACCGUAAGGUGAUGUAUAGGGGCUGACGCCUGCCCGGUGCUGGAAGGUUAAGAGGAGUGGUUAGCUUCUGCGAAGCUACGAAUCGAAGCCCCAGUAAACGGCGGCCGUAACUAUAACGGUCCUAAGGUAGCGAAAUUCCUUGUCGGGUAAGUUCCGACCCGCACGAAAGGCGUAACGAUUUGGGCACUGUCUCAACGAGAGACUCGGUGAAAUCAUAGUACCUGUGAAGAUGCAGGUUACCCGCGACAGGA